GGGCAAAACUGUGAUAGUCAUGAUUGAGGGUAAACUUGGUACUACUUCUUUGUUUCUUUGUUUUUUUUGUAAAAGAAGAAUAAUGGAUAAAAGUUGAAUAAUGUGAAGUAAAAUUUUGGAAUAAAAAAAAGAUUAGAUUUAUAUGAUAUCAAAUGAGAAAUUAAAUUUAUUAAGUGCUGAAUUAUAAGUGAAAGAUUGGAAAAUCAAUAAUUGAAGAUGUUUAUGAAGUAUGGAUAUCACUAGGAGAAUUAUAAUACAUUGAUUUUUAAGAGUUGAGAGUGUGCCAAGAAGAAGUCUAUGGAGUCUGGAAUUGUGUAAAGCAAAUUACUAAGAAUGACAGUUAGUUUUGGAAAAUUCUAGUGAUUAUGGAAUGUUUUAUACAGUCUUUUAUGAUAG
rnacentral:lncRNA from 1 species